GACGAACGCUGGCGGCGUGCUUAACACAUGCAAGUCGAGCGGUAAGGCCCUUUCGGGGGUACACGAGCGGCGAACAGGUGAGUAACACGUGGGUGACCUGCCCUUAGCUCUGGGAUAAGCCUGGGAAACUGGGCCUAAUACCGGAUAUGACUCCAUGACGCAUGUUGUGGGGUGGAAAGCCUUGUGCGGCUAGGGAUGGGCCCGCGGCCUAUCAGCUUGUUGGUGGGGUGAUGGCCUACCAAGGCGACGACGGGUAGCCGGCCUGAGAGGGCGACCGGCCACACUGGGACUGAGACACGGCCCAGACUCCUACGGGAGGCAGCAGUGGGGAAUCUUGCGCAAUGGGCGAAAGCCUGACGCAGCGACGCCGCGUGGGGA
rnacentral:rRNA from 1 species